CCAUGAUUUAAUUAAGCUAAACCUUGUUGACAUAAUGACUACAAUAAGUAAAUCUAGCCAGCACAUUAAUUAAACUUAAAAAGAUGAUAAAAGCAUGUUGAUGUGAGAUGUGUCAGAUUUACCUGUAGCUUACUGUAUUAGUGUGAAAACUUGUUUGAUACUCAUUGUUUUAGCAUAUUAGUUAAGUAUAAAUCAUCUUUCAUAAUUAAACUGGGCUCAUUGCUUGGUUGCACCACAAUAUGUGUUAUUAGCCUGUCCUUUUGGCAGUACUUUAGAUUAAUCUGGUUGAUGUUUGAAAGGCAUGGUCAGCGGUUUGCCUUCUGGACUGAUGAGGCCAGAAACUUGCUCCAAGGAACUCUUCAGCCAGUGUACGGAGUGCUAUCUCAGAGGAAAUCCACAUUCAGGCUGUCGAUGACCACACUGCAGAGGGUGUACUCAAUGGGAAGCCCUCUAAGGAACAGCUGUCCUGUUUGCCGAUCUGAGAGGAGUGCUGCAUAGGACACCAACACAACUGAGCUUCACAGAUGAAGUGCAGAGGUAUGCCUGACCAUGUAAUGUGUUUGUGAGUGUCCUGCUCCUGCACUUACAAAAUCUUAAACAAAUACAAAAAAUAAAUAAUAACAUAAAUGCAAGUUCUUUAUAAACGGGCAGAAUGUUGACUGGUACAGUAUUGGGAAGUCCAUUAACUGGUACAAAAAGGUUCAUACUCACUGAUCUAUAUAUAAUGAUAUAAUAAUAAUAAUAUAAUGUUCUCUAUUAUAGAUCAGUUGUCACACUACACAGUUCACAUUCAUACCUCAGUGGAUGUUUGCGCUUUAUUUAAGCCUUGAAAAUCGUUGAAAGAGGACAGGAGUGGAGGUGCACCUUACCAGAACUGGCAUUUCAGCCAUUGUCCACGAGAUACUUCAAGGGGAGGCACUUCAAGCAGAGCAUAGUAUUGGCUGGGAAAGGAGUGGACAUACUGGGAAUCUGGGCAAUGCCAUCAGUUCUGCUCUCAACAAGCAGUCUGGCCAUCUGGAAGGUGCCUUGUUCUGGCUGCCACCAGAACUGACCUGAAAAAGUGCAGGUCGGGGUCAACACCCA
rnacentral:lncRNA from 1 species